CUACAAAAAUCUUGGUUUAUGUUAUAUAGGUGAGUUUCAACUCACAACCUCUCUAAGCUUGUAAUAAGCUAUGAGCUGAAUUUCUAACAAGUUUACUUUCUAACAGCUAAAUUAACUACAGCCCAAAGGCAGCAGCCUGUUACUAUUUUAUAUCAUUUGUUGUUGAUUUGUUUUUUUUCAGAAUUGCAUUGGCAAAUCAUGAAAGGUGUAAUGUUCACGGAUUUUUGUUAGAUGAUCUGUUGGUCUGGUUUAAUUUUAGCGAGCAUGAGGCAUCUGGGAAACAUGUUUCAAGGGCCUUGUUUGUCGAUCUGGAGCCCACUGUUAGUAGAUUAUGGCAGUAAAUCAUAAUAGGUCAUGUUGUUGGACGAGGGCGGGCUGGCGGAGGGCGUGUCGGCGGACGACGUGGAGGU